UGCGAGACGGGCGGGGCUCCGCUGUGACGCGAGUGCGGGAGGCCCCCGGGCUGCCCCUGCCGCGCCGGACAUGCCCGCGGUGACGGUGCUGGGGCUGGAAGGCAGCGCCAACAAGGUGGGGGCGGGGCUGGUGCGGGACGGGCGGGUGCUGAGCAACCCCCGCCGGACCUUCGUGCCCGCGCCGGGCCAGGGAUUCCUGCCGGGGCAGACAGCGAGGCACCACCGGGGCUGUGUGCUGGCCGUGCUGCGGGAGGCUCUGCAGGAGGCAGGGCUGGAGCCCGCAGAUGUGGACUGCGUGGCCUACACCAAGGGCCCCGGCAUGGGCGCCCCACUGGUGACAGUGGCCGUGGUGGCCCGGACGUUGGCCCAGCUCUGGAACAAGCCCCUGCUGGGUGUCAAUCACUGCGUGGGCCACAUUGAGAUGGGCCGGCUGAUAACGGGCGCCCAGAACCCCACCGUGCUGUAUGUCAGCGGGGGCAACACCCAGGUCAUCGCGUACUCGGAGCGCCGGUAUCGCAUCUUUGGGGAGACCAUCGACAUCGCUGUGGGCAACUGCCUGGACCGCUUCGCCCGUGUGCUGAAGAUAUCCAAUGACCCCAGCCCUGGCUAUAACAUCGAACAGAUGGCGAAGAAGGGACAGAAGCUGGUGGAACUGCCCUACACAGUGAAGGGAAUGGAUGUGUCCUUCUCAGGGAUCCUGUCCCACAUAGAGGAGGUGGCUCACAAGAUGCUGGCAUCAGGAGAGUGCACCCCGGAGGAUCUCUGCUUCUCUCUCCAGGAAACGCUCUUCGCGAUGCUGGUGGAGAUCACGGAGCGGGCCAUGGCGCACUGCGGCUCACAGGAGGCCCUCGUCGUGGGCGGAGUCGGCUGUAACAUGCGGCUGCAGGAGAUGAUGCGGAUCAUGUGUGCAGAGAGGGGAGCCAAGCUGUUUGCUACAGAUGAGAGGUUCUGCAUUGACAAUGGGGCCAUGAUCGCGCAGGCCGGCUGGGAGAUGUUCCGCACGGGGCAGGUGACGCAGCUAGAGGAUUCGUGGAUCACGCAGAGGUAGAGGAGGGGAGAGCGACGGGGAGAGGUCUCAGCCGUGGGACAGCCCCCAGCCCCGACUCUCUCUUCUCCCCACAGUGCAGUGUGGUGGGGGACACCCCCUGACAGGGGCAGAGCACAACAGGCCCCGGCCCAGGCUGCGCAUGGGACCCAGGCAUCCGAGUCCCCGUGGCAACAUCGCAGGGGACAGUUGAGCGUGCGGAGACGGUAGCAC